rnacentral:rRNA from 1 species
GGCUUUCGGAGCUAACGCGUUAAGCAGUCCGCCUGGGGGAGUACGGUCGCAAGAUUAAAACUCAAAAGGAAUUGACGGGGGCCCGCACAAGCGGUGGAGCAUGUGGUUUAAUUCGAUGCAACGCGAAGAACCUUACCUACUCUUGACAUCCACAGAAUCCUGCGGAGACGCGGGAGUCCCUUUGGGAACUCUGAGACAGAUGCGGCACGGCUGUCGUCAGAUCGCGUUGUGAAAUGUUGGGUUAAGUCCCGCAACGAGCGCACCCCUUAUCCUUGUUUGCCAGCGAGUAAUGUCGGGAACUCCAGGGAGACUGCCGGUGAUAAACCGGAGGAAGGUGGGGACGACGUCAAGUCAUCAUGGCCCUUACGAGUAGGGCUACACACGUGCUACAAUGGCGCAUACAGAGGGCAGCGAACUUGCGAGAGUAAGCGAAUCCCAAAAAGUGCGUCGUAGUCCGGAUUGGAGUCUGCAACUCGACUCCAUGAAGUCGGAAUCG